GGCAGAUCUCAGAGUCGCCUGGCUGCAAAGCUGGUGUCCCUUCCCCACUGUGCCUUAACUGCCGCCUUACAGCUGGGUUGGAGGAUGCCUCCCUGGUCUAGGAAAACUUCACCUUCCAGAGGAGCGCCUCUGCCUGGCUGUCCCACCGUCUGGGAAGUAAGGAGCGCCUCUGCCCAGCCCCCGCACCGUCUGGGAAGUGAGGAGCGCCUCUGGACGGCCCCCGCACCGUCUGGGAAGUGAGGAGCGCUUCUGGACGGCUCCCAGCAACCCCCCAGGUGUGAAGUGACAGCCCUGUGUGUGAUCUUUCUGCCCUCCCCAAGUUUGCAUUUUCGACAAUAAAAUUUACUUUUAAAUUAAAAGAUUUAUACUGGGGAAGAUUUAAAAAAAAAAAAAGAAAGAAAAGAAAACUCACCUUCCAAAAACAACCACUGGGAGUCCGCUUUGUGCAGAGGUUGGACAAGCUUCUGUGCAGGUAGGGGCGCUGCUGCUCCCCCUACCACCCACGCAUCCUCCUCCCUGUCUGCAUUCCCGUCGUCGUAGCCAGAGGAGUUCAGAGCCUCUACAGAGAGCACAACUUCUCCAGCUGGAACAAACUCCCCUUAAAGGAAUCUAUUUAGGAAGAUUAUUUCAAUGUACAUUCAUUCCUCCAAAAUAUGC
rnacentral:lncRNA from 1 species